AACGCACCUUGCGCUCCUUGGUAUUCCGAGGAGCAUGCCUGUUUGAGUGUCAUUUAAUUCUCAACCUUAUUAGCUUUUGCUGAUAAUGGCUUGGAUGUGGGGGUUCUCUUUUGCUGGCUUCUUUUCACAGAGGUCAGCUCCCCUGAAAUGCAUUAGCUGGUGCCCCCGCGUGGACUGUCUAUUUGGUGUGAUAAUUAUCAACGCCGUGGAUGUCUGCAAUUGGUUUUGGCACUGCUUCUAACUGUCUGUUCAUUUGGACAACACAUGACAAUUUGACCUCAAAUCAGGUAGGACUACCCGCUGAACUUAA
rnacentral:misc_RNA from 1 species